CGGGGUCCAGGCUGUUUGGGGAGGCACAGCCUUCCCUAUCCAGACCUCCAUAAAGUUUUGCAAUCCCAAUGUUGCCCUCGGGCCCACCCCUGCUGAAGACUAUUUUUUCCAGUUUGAAUUUUCAAUUAUAUGUAUUUGAAGUCUAGUGUUCUCUCAAUGAGUAUAUGAACACAAAGUUUUUAUCUGAACUUCCCUGAGCUCAGAGGCGUUUUGAUCUAUGAUUUUGGUCUAGGCCAGACUUUGUUUAGUAAUGACUGAAGUUAUGUGCACUCAACAAGAAGAGAACAUACCCCCCAGCUUGAAUUAAUAUCUAAUGUGCAUCUUAUUUACUAGGGUUAAUAUGAAACUAGACAAAACUAUUUCAAAAUAUAACUGUGCAAAUGAUUCUUUCCGACUGAGCUGUGGGAGGUUAGAAUGAAAUUCCUGUGCUCACAGUGAGCUCAGCUGACCAGCAGGAGAAAAAAAAAAAUCACUGUUUAAGGGAGGGCCGCACAGCUUUGCACCUGCAGUUCAGUUUCUGCAAUCCAUCAUUUACAUUACCUUUGGAAAUGGAGGAUUAGGAAAAUCUUGUGGCAAAUUUACAGUGAACUGUGAAUGCUUCCUGUCCUCCCUGCCUCAGCUACAGCUGGAAUCUAGUAACUCAAAAUCAGUUAUUUCCUGGCAAAAUAAUAUAUUUCUACUUACAAAUAUUCUUUCUGGGGAACUGAAAUGCUACUAUGGAGUGUUGGAUGAUGAGUCCUGUAGGUUGUAAAAUCUAAAUUCAUUCUGAUCCUACAUUUAAAACCAAUAUUUACCUUUCUCUGAGGAAUUUUAAUCAUUUCCUUUACUGCAGCAAUGAUUCUUUAGAGAUAGUUCUGGACCUGGAAAGGAAGAAGGAAAAUAUUCAAGGAAGAUAGAGAACUCUACAUAACCAAGGUCUUUGUACAGUACUACAACAUGUGUCUGAAGAAAUAUUACACUGCAAAUAGCUAAAGAAGUCAUUUAGGAGCCACAGUCUUUUCAGGCAGCUAGUUGGGUUUAAGGGCGAUCACAGCCUGUCACUUCAUGACUCCACAAAUAGGAUUAUCUAAUGACUUAUUGGGAGGGCCAAUCAUUUUUUACAGCCACAUGGCGUCUCAGUGCUUUCCCUGUUGUGUACCUGUACUGGUACUAUGGUGAAUGCAAGGCUAAUUUCCCAACCUGGAAGAUUCCAUACCAUGUCCAAAGGCAGAGUAAGACAGAAUGCAUCAAAUUUUUCAGUACUGUUGUAGUUUACCAGUGUAGAAGCUGGUAACAAGCAUCAGUCAUCACAUUUAUUCAUCAGUCCUGAAAUUACUUUAGCUGAUAUCAGCUUAUGGGUGGAGGGCUACAAACAUUACCAUGGACAAUCAAAUCUAUCAUUACUGUUUCUGUAUAACAUAGUCAAAAUAUAAAGUGGGGAGUGGAGAACUUGUUUUGUCAAGUUUAGAACCCUCUUAAUAAUAGAGAGUUCUAUAUUUAGAACUUGAAGUUAUGACAGAAAAAAAAUCAUUUGAGAUUUCAGUUCCACUCAGCUCAUUCUAUUCAGGAUUUCAAGUGAAAAUCCUGAGCUGCCACAGGUCUCUUUAUUUAAUGUCCCUAGUUAGUUCUACAAGCAAGGCAAAAAUUACUUUCAGGCAAGAAUCGCUACUGUUUGCAUAACACAAGAUUCCGUUUAGCUACAAAUACAUGGGGUGAGGAAGCAAUUACAUUUUCCUUAAAAAACUGUGGUUUAAUUUAAGAGAAAAAGUGUCUGGCAAAACUCAAAAGUUUAAUGGAAUUUGAAACUCAAAACUAAAAUAAAAAAAAAACUAGAGGUUUUGCAAAGCCAAAACACCAUGAUGUUCUCUCGCCACUAGCUAUUAAUUAUGCAACAUUUAAAGACAAGUCUUGUGAAUAAACCCUUUUGCAAAUGAUUACAUGCUAUGGAAACAGAAUAUAAUAGUAAUACCAUCAAUUACUUAGUGUUUUAUAUAUUCAAAGAGUUGUACAAACAAACUAAGAAAUUCAUAUUUCUCUGCAAAAUCAAUUCUGAUCAAUAGCGAGUGGAAAUUAGCGAAGGGAAAAACCAGAACCCUGGUUUCAAGCACUCAAGUUUUGUGAGUGUUAAAAUCUGAACCUGGAUUUGUAAUUUUCCAGUUGGCCCCAAACUUUAUGAGAUUAAAUUCUGCAGAGUGAGCCCAUAUAUAAAUAUGUAAACAGUAUCUGUGUGUAUGUUCUGUUUGUGUACAUUCAGAGAAACUAGACAUGCUAGUUGUUUUUCUUACAUGUACAUUCAGUAGUUAGAAAAAUAGAAGUCAAUAUAAAGUACAGAUUAAAAGUACUGAACCAGCUCCAGCAAGCACUAACUCUUAGUGGUACAAAACAACAUCUAGUUGUGCUCAGAUCCCCUUACUCAGGGGGGAAAAAUCUAUGUAGGGAACAAGAAGUUCCAUAAAGUUUCCCUUGCAGUUUUUUCCUCAGUAUCAUUCCCUUAGGGGGUAUCCCACACACCCCACAUAAACGGAUAUUUAGUUCUCAAAGCCACUGACCUUGGAUUUCCACUCAGAUCUAAGGUUGUGCAACACCAGCAAAGAUGACAUACUGCCACACUCUCUCUCAGUUCUCCAUGUCCCUUCCCAACACCCUGGCAGCAUGGAUCCAGCACAACUUCUAAAUGGCUGCUUUCCAUGGACUCCCUCGUUAGUAGGGACUCCACAUCAUGGAAAAGUGGACAUCACAUGCUUUUCUGGGGAGAACAUGCAGAGAGUACCUGUUUCCCCUCCCCGGCCCCAGUUCCAGGCCACAGCCUGCUCCUGCCCACAGUGAAGCUACCAGGUUUCUAGGGGCAAAGCAGCUGAAGCAGCACUCCUACCUUCAGACAGGGAUCCACUGUGUUUUUAUCCCAGCUGCUGCAGAAGGAAUGACUUAGCCCCUGGCUAACAUCUCUCUGAAAUAUUGGUUGCAUGUGAAACAUUAUAUAAAUACUCCCUAUCUGCAGUGCAUCCACCACAGAUAACUAUGAACCAUGAUAUGACUUCUGAAAACAUCACCUCCAGAUGUUGGACAGUAACAGAAACUGCAAGGGUUCUACAGCACCAGAAGAAUGUAGAAUGGGGUUGGCAACAAUGCCAUUGGCAGCCUAUGGUGGAGGAAAAAUUGGUGCACAGGAGUGAAGGAUGAAGAUUUUGAUGAAGAAUAAGAAUAGAGCUUAAGGUACAAUCUACAAAACCAGAACUUUAGCAAGCUUCUCAAUUCCCCAGUGCAUUCAGAGCAUAAUGACCAGAGUACCAUUUAAAGGGCCAGUGGUAACAGGCAAUUUCUGAGGCCUUCUUGGAUAGAAGAGGUAGGCAGCAGAAUAUGUAUCUGCAUGAAUGUAUUUAGAAAUAUUUACCUUGCCAAACACAGGGGAUAUCUGUGCUAUUCAGAACAUUUAUUCUUCAGUUUGUCCAUCCCGAGUACAGCAGCAGUCUUAAAUUUCAUGGGCCUGAUUCUGCUCUCAGUAACACUGCUGUAUUCUGUUGAUCUUAGUAUUAUUGCUCUUAAUUUAUUCAGAAGUAAAUGAGGAGAGAAAUCAGCCCCUUUGUUUUUAUAAAGGACUGAAAAAGCCCUUUUAUGAAGGUAACAGUACAAAGUCUAAUGAUGUUCACAGAUUGUUACAUUGCAGUCAAUUACCCUUCUGCUGCCGGAGAACUAACUUUUUUAAAACAUAUUUCAAAAAGAAUUCACCCCUUCUCCUCCCCACUGUGGAAGUGAGAAAAUGUUUGUUUUUUAUGCUCAUUCAUCUUCAUUUCAGUUAAGAAUGCUCUAGGACUGCCAAAUUUACUAAAUUUUGUGGGAUUUUGGUAAGGAGAGAAGAAUUAGAAAUCAAUCCAAGGCCACCAGAAUGCAUUAACAAGAUCCAGAAAGAAUGAGGUUUUGGUUAGGCUUGUUUUGUAGGGUUUAUUUGGAAGAGAACCUCAUAGGUUAAAGUAGAGAAACUUAACUCAAAUUCCUUCUUGCUAGUUAGAAAGAUAAUUUCAUAUACCAGACUUUAGCACUACCAACAGGAGAGAGAUUGGAAAGCUUCAGAAAACAUAUGAAUUAAGGAUAGUCAAUUGUAAAACCAAAAUUUCUCAGCUCUUGCAGGUUUGUGAUAAAACCUUAACACUAUUUAAACUUAGAGGAAUUGUAUUUAAUUUCCCUCCUUUCCCCUCUUCCUUCCCCCCGCCCCAUCUUUUUUUAUAUAUAAAAAAAGACAAUGGAAAUUUAUAAGAUAUGAAUACUCUUUCCUGGAGAAAGUAGUCAUUUGUGUCCAGGGAAGGGUCAAAUAGUUUGGAUAAAAUAAGAACCAACCCAAACCACCACACAUUCUUGAACUGAAGCUUCAGAAUAUUUAACAAACUCUUCUUCUUUCAUUUUCUUGUGCUUUUGCGUUUUUAAUUUAGCUGUGCCCAAGAGUGCAAGCACUAAAACACACCAAGCAAGACUCCAUUAGUGAUGAGAUGGAUGGACAGAUCUGGAUCAUGACACCUCCAUCUCAUGUGCUAACUAUUCAUUUCCUGCCCUGGAGGAUUCAUUGUCAUGUUGUCCAAUCUUUGGGGCUUCAUCCACAACGCAAGUUUUAAAUGCUGAGACAUUUUUCCAUUAUGUCUAUAUACCACAAGCUGAAAUUUGUUUAGUUAUAAAAGGCUUUUAUGAUAUUCUGAGUAUUUUUUCAUGAACAUCAAUAAUUUCAAAAAAGUUCUCAAUUGUUUCAUACUAUCUCACUCUCUUUUUAACUCUGUAUAUUAAACAUUAAUUUUUAUUCUUUAUUUUAAAUUAACUAAAUGCCUCUAGCACUUAUUCUGGUCAUUUUAUGUUUCUUUAAGCUUCACAUAGUAGUCACAUUGAGAAAGGGAUGACUGGAAAUAACAGGAAACAGAAGGAAAAACAGACCCAGGGUAGGGCUCUAGGAAAACCCUCUUUUAUCAAACCAGUAAUCCAAGGAUUCAGGUCAAGGGCCAAACCCCAUGCCAGCAGAACAGCUUCAACAUUGGGCCAGAAAGAAAGACAGCAAGCACAAGAAUAAAUCCAUUACUUGGUGGUCAGAGCUCUCACCUGGGAGGUGGAAGACCCAGAAUCUAGUCCCCUGGCAAGAUGGGCGGUGGGUGAAUCUUGAGAAGGCUAGCCUCCUGCCUCGCCUCUUCUGGCCGAGGCCACACCCAUGGUCUCUGGUCUCAGCCAGCCUGUGGCCCGGGAUCAGAGCUUAGUCAGGGCAACGGAGGGGGGAAGAGAGCUUGGCCCCAGCCGGGGUUGAGCUCUCAGCCCCCACUGGGACCACGGCAGAGCUCUCGACCUUGGCAGAAGCUCUAAGUCCAGAGCCCCUCACCCAUUCCUUUCCUUCUCCCACAUUCCCUCCCCUUCCUGAUGGCCCUGCCCCCACUCCCCCAUAACCUUCCCCCCACUCGCUCUUUUCCCCUCCUCCCCAACUGCAGCCCCAAGACCGGAAAAGCUCUGUGCCCCUGCUCCAGCUGUGGUGGGGAGCAAGAGCUCCUUCAGCCCCAGGGCUAUGGUGGGGGAGAUUUUUCAAGGGACCCCAAAUUGGCCUGUCCCCUGCCCAAGAUACUGUGGAGCAGGUGUUUUACUUAUCGUUUGAAUACUUCAGUCAUUGUUGCAAUGUUCUCCCAACUUAAUGUUGUGUCCCAUCUCCUCUUAAUAAAAGUUGUAUUU